GAUCACUCUGGCUGCUGCUUAGAGAAUGGACUGAUGGUAGGGAGUUCAAGAAACAAGAUCUCCUGGGUGGCUUUUGCAGAGGUAGAAAUGAGAGAUCAUGAUGCCUGGAACCUGGAGGAUAGAUUGUGGCACAGAAAAGAAUGAGGAAAGGAAAACCAUAUGGAUAAGAUUAUAAACACAAGAGAGGAAACAAAGGAUUAAGUAAGCUGAAGAAAUGCCAAAUUUCUUACUUCAAGGAAAAGGAACUAAAAAACAUUUUGUCCAGGUAACAAAGACAUCAGGAAUUCAUAAUGGUCUUUGGAAGGUCAUGUACAUCUCUCCAUUUUAUCUUGAAAAACUGUCUUCUUGCUUCUUCCAACAGAAGCAGGAAGACAGCAUAUAUUAGCACACAUUCCUUUCACAGUUUAUGCGGUGUUCUACUGAGAGAAGAAAAGUAACAUGAACAGUGAACAUUCAAUUUUUUUUAUCUCAGAAAAUUACUUAGGAAUGACAGCAGAAUACAGUUAAGAUUAUUAAUGAGAAUAGAAUCUAAGAUUCUACCAUGGACCCAA
rnacentral:lncRNA from 10 species